GCUAACUACGUGCCAGCAGCCGCGGUAAUACGUAGGGCGCAAGCGUUAUCCGGAAUUAUUGGGCGUAAAGAGCUCGUAGGCGGUUUGUCGCGUCUGCCGUGAAAGUCCGGGGCUCAACCCCGGAUCUGCGGUGGGUACGGGCAGACUAGAGUGAUGUAGGGGAGACUGGAAUUCCUGGUGUAGCGGUGAAAUGCGCAGAUAUCAGGAGGAACACCGAUGGCGAAGGCAGGUCUCUGGGCAUUAACUGACGCUGAGGAGCGAAAGCAUGGGGAGCGAACAGGAUUAGAUACCCUGGUAGUCCAUGCCGUAAACGUUGGGCACUAGGUGUGGGGGACAUUCCACGUUUUCCGCGCCGUAGCUAACGCAUUAAGUGCCCCGCCUGGGGAGUACGGCCGCAAGGCUAAAACUCAAAGGAAUUGACGGGGGCCCGCACAAGCGGCGGAGCAUGCGGAUUAAUUCGAUGCAACGCGAAGAACCUUACCAAGGCUUGACAU
rnacentral:rRNA from 1 species